rnacentral:rRNA from 1 species
UAGAGUUUGAUCCUGGCUCAGGACGAACGCUGGCGGCGUGCCUAAUACAUGCAAGUCGAACGAGGCUUUUUAAUUGAUGCUUGCAUCAGCUAAAAAGCCGAGUGGCGAAUGGGUGAGUAACACGUGGGUAACCUGCCUUGAAGCGGGGGAUAACAUUUGGAAACAGAUGCUAAUACCGCAUAACCACAAAAACCUCCUGGUUUUUGUGUCAAAGAUGGUUCUGCUAUCACUUCAAGAUGGACCCGCGGCGUAUUAGCUUGUUGGUGAGGUAACGGCUCACCAAGGCAAUGAUACGUAGCCGAACUGAGAGGUUGAUCGGCCACAUUGGGACUGAGACACGGCCCAAACUCCUACGGGAGGCAGCAGUAGGGAAUCUUCCACAAUGGACGCAAGUCUGAUGGAGCAACGCCGCGUGAGUGAAGAAGGUCUUCGGAUCGUAAAACUCUGUUGUCAGAGAAGAACGUGCGUGAGAGCAACUGUUCAUGCAGUGACGGUAUCUGACCAGAAAGUCACGGCUAACUACGUGCCAGCAGCCGCGGUAAUACGUAGGUGGCAAGCGUUGUCCGGAUUUAUUGGGCGUAAAGGGAACGCAGGCGGUCUUUUAAGUCUGAUGUGAAAGCCUUCGGCUUAACCGAAGUCGUGCAUUGGAAACUGGGGGACUUGAGUGCAGAAGAGGAGAGUGGAACUCCAUGUGUAGCGGUGAAAUGCGUAGAUAUAUGGAAGAACACCAGUGGCGAAAGCGGCUCUCUGGUCUGUAACUGACGCUGAGGUUCGAAAGCAUGGGUAGCAAACAGGAUUAGAUACCCUGGUAGUCCACGCCGUAAACGAUGAAUGCUAAGUGUUUGGAAGGGUUUCCGCCCUUCAGUGCCGCAGCUAACGCAUUAAGCAUUCCGCCUGGGGGAGUACGAUCGCAAGAUUGAAACUCAAAGGAAUUGACGGGGGCCCGCACAAGCGGUGGAACCAUGGUGGUUUAAUUCGAAGCAACGCGAAGAACCUUACCAGGUCUUG